UCUGGCUCAUAUAUAUGUAUAAACUGUAUCUUCAGAUCAUUUAAUCUCCUAAACCAUUUACUAUUUACUUUUCAGUAAAAUGGGGAUUUUAAUACCUACUUGACAGAUUUUGUUUUGAGGAAUAAGGGAAGUGAUAGAUGGCAAGCACUUAGCACAAAGUAUAGAAAAAUGGCACUCGUGAACAAUUUCCACUUCUUGUCGAAUCAAAUGAAUUCACCCUUAUCUUGAACUUUGUGCCUCAUUUGAUAGUUUGGGAUUUUCCUUCCCUCUUCAUCCUUAGCAUGUGGCGUCUGUGAAUAACUCUCCUGAUUUUCUUCCUACUUAUUUGCUCCCUAGUCUUUAUAUAUUCCUCGGUUAUGCUCACCAUAUAAAAUGUUGGGGAUUCUUUGAAAUUUUGUUCUGGGCCCUCUUCUCACUUUACAAACACUCCCUGAGCAGUCUUAAAUUCUCAUCACUUCUUCCAUCUUCACACUUACUUCAUUAUCUAUUCUUGUGUCUUGAUAUCCCUCCUGAGCUCUAGGUCUUGUCUUGGAUUGUCCUUGGAUUUCUCAAAUGUAAUAAGGCCCAAACAGGAAUCUCAUACUAGCCUGGGGUUUCUCUUAAUAUCCCUCAAUAUAGUGAAUGGUAUGACCAACCACCUUAUGCGUUAAGCCAGGAAUCUUGCUUUCCUCUCCAACUUCCCAACCCAAUAAAUCACUACAUUCUGUUGAUUUUUAAAGGUACUUGUUAUAGCUGGCUCUUUAAUCCAUCUUUUUAUAUCUCUUUGCUGCUGACUCAUUUCAGGUUUUCUUUCUUCCUUGGAUUACUAUAAUAGCCUUCUCAUGGACUCUGUUCCUAGUAACUCAUGUCCAAUCCAGCCUUUCACAACUACCAGAAUGAUCUUGAAACAAUUCUGAUCUUGACAGUUUGCUAUUUAAACUGCACCCUCAAAAUAAGAUUAAAUAUCAUUGCUAAAAUCUCACUCCUGCCUACCACUGUUGCCUCACACUCCAGGUGUUCUGCCAGCCAAACGAUUUACAAUUCCCCAAGCCAUCUGUUCACCCUUUCUUCUUUGCCUCUGCAUAAGCUAUAUCUUCUGCUUAGAUUUCUCCUUACCCAAAUUUUCCUCCCAUGAUAAUAGCUAAUAUUUAUUGAAUUAUAUCAUUUAAUUUUCACAGCCACCCAAUGAUAGCUACUAUCACCUUCAUUUCACAGAAACAGGUAUAGAUUAUGAAACUAUCAUAUCAUUAUUAGCCGACAGAUUCAGGAUCUGACUUCCAAGUUCUUAACUACAAUAAUAUUUUUUCUCUUUUCAUUCCAUUUAGGCCUCUGUUUCACAGUUUCUGCAGUAGAUCAUGCUUGAUUCUGAAUCCAGCGUUUUCCCAGGCACAGAGAAAUGAGAGAACAGCUGCCACAAUCCUGGGACACUGUGGAAGAGCUUUUUUGCAUGGGGGAUUCUGCAGUAUCCAGAGGUACAAGAAGAUAAAAAUGGGUAUCCCAACGCAGGUCUUCACAGCAUGCUCUCAGCACAAGGAACAA